rnacentral:lncRNA from 1 species
UUGGCUCUUUUUUUUCCUCAUUAAAUUGGCAAAUUUCUAUGUAGUGUGAUGAAUAAUAUUGUGAGGUACAUAGCAGAAAACUUGCAUGAAGAUGAAGAUAAGUGUGAAAAAAAGUUGAUUGUUGAAGUUGUUUUGUCUUGGGGAGGUCGCUUAUGAAGAAUUUGGGUAGAGAGUUUAAUGUUAGAUAUUUUUUAAACCGUCAAUGUUAGUAAAAAAAAAUUCUCCUUCGUGUGAGAAUAUUGAAUCUAGGGUCUCAAACUUCAUUUUAAGUUUUUAACUCUUAGAAAACUAGUGAUGUAGAAGAAAAAUUGCUUGAAGAUAAGUGAAGAAAUUAUAAAAGAAAUUUCUAUGCUGUGUAUCGAAGAAACUAGUGAUGUAGAAGAAAAAUUGCGUGAAGAUAAGUGAAGAAAUUAUAAAACUUUUUUUUUUCUUUUGAUGUUGUUGAUUGUUGAAGUUGUUUUGAUUGGGGGGAGGUCACAUAUGAAAGAUUUGAAAAGGAAGCUUAAUGUUGUUAUAAUAUGACAUGGAAAAUUAGUUUUUGUGAUUGAAACCAAUUGAAAUUUAUCUUAAAAUAGUAAUGAAGUUGUAUAAUAUUAAGAUGAGAAAAGAGUGUGAGUGAAGACUUUGUAACUUUACACAUCUAAAUAUUGUUGCCUUGACCUUUUUUUUUCUUUCAC